rnacentral:rRNA from 1 species
GAUGAACGCUAGCGAUAGGCUUAACACAUGCAAGUCGAGGGGCAGCACAAGGUAGCUUGCUAUCUGGGUGGCGACCGGCGCACGGGUGCGUAACGCGUAUGCAACUUGCCCUAUACAGGAGGAUAACCCGUCGAAAGACGGACUAAUACUGCGUAUGCUCACAACUUGGCAUCAAGUGGUGAGGAAAGAAAUUCGGUAUAGGAUAGGCAUGCGUCCCAUUAGCUUAUUGGUGAGGUAACGGCUCACCAAGGCAACGAUGGGUAGGGGAACUGAGAGGUUUAUCCCCCACACUGGUACUGAGACACGGACCAGACUCCUACGGGAGGCAGCAGUGAGGAAUAUUGGUCAAUGGGCGCGAGCCUGAACCAGCCAAGUCGCGUGAAGGAUGACUGUCUUAUGGAUUGUAAACUUCUUUUAUACGGGAAUAACAAGAGUCACGUGUGACUCCCUGCAUGUACCGUAUGAAUAAGCAUCGGCUAACUCCGUG